rnacentral:rRNA from 1 species
CAGUAGCCGCGGGAAUACGUAGGUGGCAAGCGUUGUCCGGAAUGAUUGGGCGUAAAGGGCGCGCAGGCGGCUGUGUAAGUCUGUCUAGAAAGUGCGGGGCUAAACCCCGUGAGAGGAUGGAAACUGGACAGCUGAGAGUGUCGGAGAGGAAAGCGGAACUCCUAGUGUAGCGGUGAAAUGCGUAGAUAUUAGGAAUAACACCAGUGGCGAAGGCGACUUUCUGGACGAAAACUGACGCUGAGGCGCGAAAGCCAGGGGAGCGAACGGGAUUAGAUACCCGCGUAGUCCCUGUCUCUUAUAC